GCAAACGCAAUGAACACGGUCUCCGGCCCCGGCAUUGGCUCGCGGAACCUUGGACGCGAGUCCUCGGGCUCACCCGGGAGCACCGGAAAGGACUUGUGCGGACGACUUAGGAGGAGGAAGGGAAGGGAGGACCGAGGAACCAUGGCUUCUGUGGGUGCUCUUUGCAGUGGUCCGGGGAGGAGGAAGUUUACCUGCUUCCUGACGGCCGCCGUCCGCUGCGCAAACCCAGGAGCCCGAGCGGUGCUGUGGAGAAGUUGUUCACAAUAUAAACAGCCUGUUCCAAUAGAAAAUCCUUAUAAGGAGCCUCUUAAAAAGUGCGUCUUGUGUGGAAAACGUGUAGAUUAUAAGAAUGUACAGCUCACAAUGGCAGUAAUUCUCAGUUGAUGGAGGUGAGUAGUUUGGAAAAAGCUCCUCUGGUGAAGUUGAUCUCUCUACCUCACCAACAAUAUCACUGCUUCAAAUACAACUUUAUCUGUUUUACAGCCCUCAGCAAGUUAAGUGGCAAAUCUGGGGUAGAGAAUGUUGAAGUAUACUGACAAUAGUAUAAAGUGAUAGCUGCCUUAUAGGGAGAAAAACCAAGAAAUUUUUAAAUGCAGGUAUUAGGAAAGGGGACAUAUGUAAUACUUUCAACAAUAAAGAAUUAUAAAAAAAAUAACAGUCAUAACAAUAUAAAAAUAAAUGCAACAUAUUGGGAGCAUUAUGCCAAGAACACUGCCUGGCACCUGGAAGGUGCUAAAGAAUUUAAAUUUAUGAAACAUAAUUAUAGCAAAUGGCCCGAUGUACCUAUAUCUCUUAAAGACCUCACUGUAGUCUGGUAUUAUGUGACAGCCUAUCAUGAUAGGUGAAAUGUUUAGUAUUUCAUUGUAAGCAGGAGUAUUUUAGAAAAGAAUCUGUACAAACAAGAAAACAGCUUUAGCCCUGGCCGGUGUAGUUCAGUUGGUUGAGUGUUGUUCCAUGCACCAAAAGGCCACUGGUUCAAUUCCCAGCUAGGGCACAUGCCCAGGUUGUUGGCUCGAUCCCCAGUAGGAGGAAUGCAGGAGCCAGCCCAUUGGUGUUUCUCUCUCACACUGAUGUUUCUCUCUUCCUUUCUCUAAAAUUAAUAAAAACAUUUUUAAAAAAGAAAACAGCUUUAGCACUGAAACAAUAUGGUCAUUAAUCUGUUGUACAGACUUUUUGAACAGACUGGGUAAGAGAUGUUAACUUUAAUAAUUGCAUUAGUUACUUAAAAAGAUGAUCUGUCAAUAGGAUGAGCAUAGUAGUAUUUUUCAUAUUUUAUAAAGUUUGUCUGAAAUUUAUUAAUAAACCUUUAUAUGACUUGAAGGUGACAUGAGGUAUGCUUUUUGAAAUUUACAGUCAAGAAUGAAUAAUACAUGUAUUGAUAUAAAUUUUUUCUUCCUCUCCAAAUAAAACUCAAACAGCUUUUGUCCCAGUUUAUUUCUCCAUUUACUGGAUGCAUUCAUGGAAGGCACAUAACAGGUCUUUGUGGGAAGAAACAAAGAGAAAUCACAAAAGCUAUUAAGAGAGCACAAAUAAUGGGUAAGAGAAUCUGAAAAAAUGAUUUGUGCUUAUCAAUUUUGGUUGUUAUCUUUUGUGAAGAACUUAAUUGUCUCUUUACAGGAUUUAUGCCAGUUACAUACAAGGAUCCUGCAUAUCUCAAAGACCCUAAAAUUUGUAACAUCAGAUAUCGGGAGUAAAUUAUGUAAAGUUAUCAA